CAUGUCCUUUAGAUUAAAAUUUAAGGUUUGGUCUGCUCAAUGAGGUUUUAAAUUGCCGCAGUAUUUUAACUGUGCGAAGGUAGCAUAAUAAUUAGUUUCUUAAUUGGAAGCUGGAAUGAAUGAUUGGACGAGAAAAUUACUGUCUCUUGGGAAGGGUUUAUUUAAUUUUAUUAUUAAGUUAAAAAGCUUAAAUUUGAAUAAAAGACGAGAAGACCCUAUAGAGUUUAAUAUUUAAGGCUUAUUAAUUUUUAGUAAAUUUAUUUAGUUUUAAUUAUUUAGUUGGGGUGACUUAAAGAUUAAUUAAAUUCUUUAAAUAUUUAAUUAUUGAUAAAUAAUUUUUAAAUCUAGUUUUUUAAAUUUAAAAUAAAUUACCUUAGGGAUAACAGCGUAAUUUUUCUUUAAAGCUCUUAUUGAAAGAAGAUUUUGCGACCUCGAUGUUGGAUUAAAAUUAAUUUUUGGUGCAGUUACUAAAAAAUUGAGUCUGUUCGACUUUUAAAAUUUUACAUGAUCUGAGUUUAAACCGGUGUAAGCCAGGUUGGAUUCUAUCUUUAUUAUUUUUUUAUAUUAUAGUACGAAAGGACCUAAUAUAGAUUAUAGAAUAAUUA
rnacentral:rRNA from 1 species